GUUUGUGGUGGAAAGAGUGAGGAGUGUUUGAAAAAGUUUGUUGUAGGAUUGUAUUGUACUUCCAGGCCUUGGACAGUUUGAAAGACGGGAGAACAGAUAAUGACCUGCUGUUUCCAGAGGUAGCAAGGGGAGAGCAAGGAGAUGGAGGUAGAGAGGGAGACAGUGGAAGAGGAAGUGUGACAGGGGCCAAGCCCUGGGCGCCACCUCCUGGACGGGACCAACAUUGCCACUUGGGUACGUGGAUACGGGACACAGAAACCGAAGCUUUCACGUGGACCAGUCGAGCCAGGCCAGGCCAGAAUGUUGUUCCCUUUUAUGGAAUCACGGUUUCCAGGCUCCGACAGUUUGACCUUGCCCCCUUCCCCAGAGAGACCAUGGCCUGGAUUCAAUCAACAUUUCUCCAGGAUUCAAUCAACAUUUCUCCGCGAUUCAAUCAACAUUUCUCUGGGAUUCAAUCAACAUUUCUCUGGGAUUCAAUCAACAUUUUCCCCUGGAUUCAUUCAAAUGUCAUCCUUAGCCGCACUAUUAAAGGAAUGUGUUUUUUGUUUUUUCCAUCACUGACACAAUUUAAAUAAACCAACUACUACAAUUAACACACCAAAUUUCUCGCCCAGAAAAAUACUUUUUAAUAUAAUUUAUGUUUUUCAUUUAAUUUUAAGUCAAUGUUAAGGGCAAAGGUUGAUUGAUCUUUGAUAUGUGGUGCAUCUCUGUUGAUAACAUGAAAGAAAUUCAUUCUGAUCUUGAAAUGCAUUCCAACACACAGUGGAAUCUGAGAUUUCAGCAAUGGAACCUGAGAUUUCAG